rnacentral:rRNA from 1 species
AACGCUGGCGGCAGGCUUAACACAUGCAAGUCGAGCGGGGAAAGGUAGCUUGCUACCUGACCUAGCGGCGGACGAGUGAGUAAUGCUUAGGAAUCUGCCUAUUAGUGGGGGACAACAUUCCGAAAGGAAUGCUAAUACCGCAUACCCCCUACGGGGGAAAGCAGGGGAUCUUCGGACCUUGCGCUAAUAGAUGAGCCUAAGUCAAAUUAGCUAGUUGGUGGGGUAAAGGCCUACCAAGGCGACGAUCUGUAGCGGGUCUGAGAGGAUGAUCCGCCACACUGGGACUGAGACACGGCCCACACUCCUACGGGAGGCAGCAGUGGGGAAUAUUGGACAAUGGGCGAAAGCCUGAUCCAGCCAUGCCGCGUGUGUGAAGAAGGCCUUUUGGUUGUAAAGCACUUUAAGCGAGGAGGAGGCUACUUAUAUUAAUACUCUAGGAUAGUGACGUU